rnacentral:rRNA from 1 species
CACGUAGUUAGCCGGCGCUUCUUCUGCAGGUACCGUCACUUACGCUUCUUCCCUGCUGAAAGAGGUUUACAACCCGAAGGCCGUCAUCCCUCACGCGGCGUCGCUGCAUCAGGCUUGCGCCCAUUGUGCAAUAUUCCCCACUGCUGCCUCCCGUAGGAGUCUGGGCCGUGUCUCAGUCCCAGUGUGGCCGGUCGCCCUCUCAGGCCGGCUACCCGUCGUCGCCUUGGUGAGCCGUUACCUCACCAACAAGCUGAUAGGCCGCGGGCUCAUCCUGCACCGCCGGAGCUUUCCACCACCAUGAGAUGCCUCAGAUGGUCGUAUCCGGUAUUAGACCCCGUUUCCAGGGCUUGGUCCCAGAGUGCAGGGCAGAUUGCCCACGUGUUACUCACCCGUUCGCCACUAAUCCACCCCGAAGGGGCUUCAUCGUUCGACUUGCAUGUGUUAAGCACGCCGCCAGCGUUCGUCCUGAGCCAGGAUCGAAACUCUA